rnacentral:lncRNA from 1 species
GCUAUUUGACACCGUCUCCGUUAGCCUGGAAAUGACUGACAAGCUUAGGCUGGCUGGCUAGUGAGACCUGGGAAUCAAAUGUGUCUGUGGCUCCCUAGCUUGGAGAUUUUAAGUUUGCUCAACCAGGCCCAGCAUUUGCAGCAUUUGUUGCUGCUGUUGUUGUUGUUGUUUUGGUUGGUUUGUUUAAUCUUGAGUUCUGGGAAUCGAACUCAGGUCCUGUUAGUUCACAGGCAGCUAUUUCCCAGGCCCUGUUUUUGACGGAUUGCAUCCGAUGACUAAGAUCAAGCUUAGUCAUAAAGGCGCCCUCCCCCAACCCCCCAAACCCCCACCGUCUGCAUUGGUUAAGUUCAAGGGUUUGAGCUUGCUUUCUGUCUGAGCAGAAAGACUGCGUGGGGCCUUACUGCCGUGCUGUCUGUCUGCAAGCGUGCCAGUCCAUGCAGGCGCUGUUCGCAAUCACGGGUAUUUUAUAUGUUUUUCUUUGGAAGCUGGUUUCUCAGUGUCAGCUCCAAAAGAAGAAAAAAAAAAAAACAAAAACAAAAAAACAAAAAAAACAAAAAAACAAAACAAACGAAGAAAAAAAAAACCACACAAACAGAAACCAAACAGCAUAUGGCCCAUAGACCCCUAGAUGAACUUUGC